rnacentral:rRNA from 1 species
AUUGAACGCUGGCGGCAUGCCUUACACAUGCAAGUCGAACGGUAAUGGGCCUUCGGGUGCCGACGAGUUGCGAACGGGUGAGUAAUGCAUCGGAACGUACCUUCCAGUGGGGGAUGACGUAGCGAAAGGUACGAUAAUCCCGCAUAUUCUGUGAGGAAGAAAUCAGGGGAUCGCAAAAACUGGAGCUGAUGGAGAGGGCGAUAUCAGAUUAGCUAGUUGGUGAGGUAACGGCUCACCAAGUCUACGAGCUGUAGCGGGUCUGAGAGGAUGAUCCGCCACACUGGGACUGAGACACGGACCAGACUCCUACGGGAGGCAGCAGUGGGGAAUUUUGGACAAUGGGCGCAAGCCUGAUCCAGCCAUGCCGCGGGAGUGAAGAAGGCCUUCGGGUUGUAAAGCUCUUUCGGCCGGGAAGAAAUCGCAUCAGCUAAUACCUGGUGUGGAUGACGGUACCGGAAUAAGAAGCACCGGCUAACUACGUGCCAGCCGCCGCGGUAAGAC